rnacentral:rRNA from 1 species
GCGGCCCUACGGGACGCAGCAGUAGGGAAUCUUCCACAAUGGACGAAAGUCUGAUGGAGCAGCGCCGCGUGAGUGAAGAAGGGUUUCGGCUCGGAAAGCUCUGUUGGUAGUGAAGAAAGAUAGAGGGAGUAACUGGCCUUUAUUUGACGGGAAUUACUUAGAAAGUCACGGCUAACUACGUGCCAGCAGCCGCGGGAAUACGUAGGUGGCAAGCGUUGUCCGGAUUUAUUGGGCGUAAAGCGAGUGCAGGCGG